rnacentral:lncRNA from 1 species
AUGAAUCCGACAAGUCCUUGCGACGAGAAUUUCACGAUUUCCGAUACUCAGUUGCAAGAGGACUCACAUUUAUCCGAAUCUCUUUUCGAACAAGUUCGUGGUUUGUCCCAGAACAACGUAUGGAAUUCUAGAAAUUAUUUGAUAUUUUACGUGGUCAGCGCUUUUCAAGUUCCACAAAUCUUGGAGGAGAAUUCUCACGGAGCAGUGAAUCCAAUUUAUAUUUCACUGCGUUUCGCGUUCAGAUUCAUGUGGCGUAUAUUUAAAGGCCAAAAAACUUUGAUCUGUUUACGAGAGGCGUGUUACCGCUAUGACCCAUUCUUUGAGAAAAUACAGGAAUACGUGAAAGGAGGCGAGGAUGUGUUUUUCGAUUUUUCGUGGUAUUCAAUGAAUCAUAAAACACUUACCUUUUCCAUGGUAGAUCUCGAGCCAUUUUAUUUCGACGGGAUGGUGGACGACGUUUGCACGGCAAACCUCGUUGUACCUCUCCUACUUACACUGAUGCACGUAGCCGCAAGUCGUAACUGCCGCUUGUAUCUAAUUUCAGAAGACGUCCAUUUUAUAAAGGAUCCAUUUUCUUCACUCGACACUGUAACCCAGCUCGAACACCUCGAAUUCGGGCUAAAGUUUGGGGUGGAUUUACACGUCACUGGAACCGGACUCAGUAAUCUGGCAAAUCUGCGAGACUUUGAUAUCUCUCCGACUAUAGAAUCGUGUCAACUUACAUUUAGACUCCCGCGCAAAGGCUACGUGCCUCAAGAUGUAGUUCCAUUCUACAGCUUCUCACUCACAGUUUGGAUAUUCAUUAUUGUGACUCUCCUUAUCCUCGCUCUGGUCCAUUACACUCUCGUGAUUACGCAUGUAAACAUUUUCUACCGUUCAGACACCGAAGAGAGCACGUUGGGCCACGAGUUAUUUCCAACCCUCAUGACGAUCUACAGAUAUACUCUGGGGAUUGGUCAGCCCCGGUUGAUAAUGGUUGAGUUGAUGGUGGGGAAAAUAGUUUUCCUCAUCAUCGCAUUCUCGAUGAUGGUUCUUAUCACUCUUUUCCAGAGUGGAAUGUUCAGUUUGUUGAGUUCACGGGUGCGCUUUAAGGAUAUCGACACGAUCAAGGAAAUUGAAGAAUCCGACUUUAUGGUACAGUCUAACGGCAUUGAAAUCGACGCGCAGUUUCUUGGUGAUGAGUCGGAAUUCGGUUGGAUUAGACAUAAACUAACCGACAGUUUCAAGUUUAUAUGCGAACAACAUUAUGCGCCUGCCCGCUUUGUUGACAAUGAUGGUGAUCUGUUGUUGAAUGAAACACUGAUUGAUACCGACGACAAGAAUGUAGUCAUGAGAGAGGUUGACACUAUGCUGAAAUCCGAUGCAUUCCUCACUAGGAUGACCACAAAGUAUACCGAAUUGAACAACUUGGUGUACAUGGAUCACGCAACAAAAAAAGAGUACGAAUUCCACAUUGCGCGUGAACGUCUUUUGAGCUACCCGUUCAUGUAUUUCAUGCCACGGAAUGGGUUCUACCGCGACGUUUUAAAUGAUGCAUUAUUCCGUAGGAUGGAGAUGGGCAUUUUAUACCAGGAAUUUGCAGAAUUUGCGCUAAGGGAUUUAAGUAAAUAUCGAGCGAGGGAAAAUAACGAUGAGGCUAGACCUUUCACUUUGACUGAUCUGAGGCUUGCGUUUUUCUUGCUCGUUAUUGGAUGGGUUUCAAGUGCUUUCUGCUUUAUUAUAGAACUACUUUGA